AUUGAACGCUGGCGGCAGGCCUAACACAUGCAAGUCGAGCGAGCGGCGGACGGGUGAGUAAUGUCUGGGAAACUGCCUGAUGGAGGGGGAUAACUACUGGAAACGGUAGCUAUUACCGCAUACCAUCGGAUGUGCCCAGAUGGGAUUAGCUAGUAGGUGGGGUAAAGGCUCACCUAGGCGACGAUCCCUCGCUGGUCUGAGAGGGUGACCAGCCCAACUGGGACGGAGACACGGUCCAGAAUCCUACGGGAGGCCGCAGUUGGGAAAAUUGGACAAUGGGCGCAAGCCUGAUGCAGCCAUGCCGCGUGUAUGAAGAAGGCCUUCGGGUUGUAAAGUACUUUCAGCGGGGAGGCGUUACCCGCAGAAGAAGCACCGGCUAACUCCGUGCCAGCAGCCGCGGUAAUAC
rnacentral:rRNA from 1 species